rnacentral:misc_RNA from 1 species
AAUUCUGGGGGUGGUAGUUAAGGUCAUUUUUUAGUUAUUUUAGUUAAUUUUGGUAAAGAUGAGUUUGUGUUUAAAUUUACUCAAUCUUUUUAACUAGUGAUAGUUAUUAAUUUAAGUUGAAUAAAAACAAGUGGAUCAAGUUUUCUUCAAUACCUUUUAUCAGUCUAUACCAAUGGUUUAGAAAGUUUAACCUAUCAGAAAACAGGCCAACGAUGCAUGCCUAGCUUUCAUAAAGCAUUUCCCUUCAUGUGUUAGAUCCACUAGCAUGUGCAACUUGAAACAGAUUUUCAAUGAAAAAGUUGAAAUCCAACACAACAUGAAAUUUUGAAACAGAAAUCCAGAGCUAAUGAUCAACUUUCACUGGUGGCUUGGGGUAUCAAUUCUUGAUACCAGACCUUCAGCAGAGCCAGACAUGAUGACAUGUUAGCUUGUUGCUAGUCCUAUUAGUUUAAACUAUCAGGAAUUGGGUCCAAAGUGUAUGUCAACUUCUAAUCUCUCAACAAAGCAAAUGCAGAUGAUUGAACUUUUCCCUAGGGCAUGAAGCACAUUAUUUAAGUUUUGUUUUAACUUCUCAUUUCUGGCAUCUUACGUUGGAUAGAAAAUUUGCUUUAAUCUGCCAGCAUAUGGUGUCUUCUUAGACAUUAUACACUACAGAAUCCAAUUUCUUCUUCACUAAAGUGAAUUGAUAUUUUGACAUUCAAACAGGUAAAGACAGUUGAAGGAGUAA